rnacentral:piRNA from 1 species
UGAAAGAAGGACAAAAGCAAGAAUAAAGA